rnacentral:rRNA from 1 species
GACGAACGCUGGCGGCGUGCCUAAUACAUGCCCGUAGGACGCAGUUGCGAACGGGUGAGUAACGCGUAGGUAACUGCCUAUUAGAGGGGGAUAACUAUUGGAAACGAUAGCUAAUACCGCAUACUAGUAGAUGGACCUGCGUUGUAUUAGCUAGUAGGUAGGGUAAUGGCCUACCUAGGCGACGAUACAUAGCCGAGCUGGAAGGGGGAUCGGCCAAAAGGGGAAUGGGAAAAGGGCCAGACUCCUACGGGAGGCAGCAGUAGGGAAACGUGGGGAAAGGGGGGAAAGCUGAACGAGCAAAGGCGGGGGAGUGAAGAAGGGUUUCGGAUCGGAAAGAUAUGUUGUUAAGGAAGCGGUACUUAACCAGAAAGGGACGGCUAACUCCGUGCCAGCAGCCGCGGUAAUUC